GGUCGCAAGAAAAGUGUAACAUAGACUUGGCUGGAUAUCAGCGUAGAUAUAUUAGUUUUGUGACGACAGGGUGAACAUUACGACCAGUGCUUCAUCGCUAUUUAGUGCGCACGUGAUAAAAGUGUUUUAUUUACGAAUGUAAUGUUACAUAACGUUCCAGUGGAAAGACAAUUAUCUGCUCAAGUCCGGUGAAUAAUAAGUGCUGUGUAACUACUAAUGCAGAUGUGUAAAAAAAGUCCUUUGCGUUAUUUUGCAUUUAAUAACGAAUGCUAAUGGUGAACUCUAUCAGCAAUAAUAUUGGACUAGUGUUAUAAUUAGCUCGGAUAAUCCUCAAUAACACCGGUAACCUCAGCAAUUUCAGUGCUGGUCGGUAUCAUUCACUUAUUUGCGCAUCAGUCGAGAAACAGUUGUGGUCUGAAUCACAGUCCUGAACGAAGGGAAACCACAGUCCUUCACGAUGCCUACUUUAGUCUCGCCUGUCUACGUUGUUUUUAUGGAAAACGUUCAGCUUUUAAGGGAACGAGAACUUCACAGACUUGAGGCACUUCACGCAAGAAAUGUGGAGCUGAUGGAACAGGUGGAGGGCUUGAGGAAUAUCGUGCAGGGUAUAGAAGCUAGAAGAACCAGGCGACAGAGACGGAGGUUCGGUUUGCGAGGGGGCGUCUUCAGGGUGUAUUUCGAGGAUGAGGCUCCGUGAACCACACAUCCUGACAGGGAUGGGAAAUCCUUUCAAAAACCCUUUACAGCGAGUGUUGUUCAGUCAAAGUAGAAUAUUGUACAAGACCAAGACCUUCAGAACUGGAACUCGUGGGACGAACUUCUCUCUAAUGCAUGGCUACGAUUUUUUUUUUUUUCAAUAUUGACAUUAAAACGGAAAUGCUUAUACCAUCGCGUAGCUACCACGUCAGUUUGAUAGAUAAAGAAAUGAUUUGCUUUCAUUAGCAUAUGACAUGGAUAUUAGCUAGAAAUUUGCGAGUUAUACCUUGAAUACAUAACAUUUCCCAUGCAAAAAUGCUCGAGAUUACUCGAGAAUUAUAUUCUGCAAAACCCAGCCAUUCCUUUUUAUAUAACCUACGGGACAUAUUAAUGUAGUUAAGGAAGAGAAACUUUACUGCCUGGUCAUUAGUACAGUCUUUUUCUGUCUUCCGGCAGAAUGGAUUAUGUCCAAUGGAAGGUGAAUAAUUUUCUUUUAAUAGGAUUUUUAAAUUUUUCUACACAAGGUGAUUACUUACGAGUAAGUGUCAAUUUUAUAAGUUGUAUAUCAUCUCUCAUACAGGGUGUCCAUAAAGUCCCAGUACCAUUCUGAGAAAUAAAUACUUGUAAUGGUACUGGGACUUUAUGGACACCCAGUAUAUCAUUACGCGUCUUAUAUUCUUUACUCUUAUCGUACUUUUUUUUUUAAUUACCAAAAAUAAAAUUCUCUUAUACGGCAUUCAUAGAAGUUCCAUGCAAAUAACCACGCAUCCAUAUCAGCCAAUCUGCAUCUUUCACCUAGCCACGCCUUGCUAUUUUCAGUUAAUCUGUUGUGCAUAAUCUGAGCAGAAGAGCAGAGAAUGAGCUUAGCAAAUUUUCUACUUUUUACGCCCUUUGAAACUUAUAUAUACGGAUUCGAUGGAUGAAAUAGCAAGGGUCUUUGGGAAAGGCCAGAAGUACCUUAUCCACGAGGUAUGUAGCUCAGUUUAUAUAGGUUUCUGUUAGGCAUACCCUUUGAGUUCUCUUAAGAAUAGGACACUGAAUCACCUGGCCCUUGAAGUGUACCCUUAAUAGGUCAACUUCCCUGUCUUUCUACCAUAUGUGGGAAGUUAACUCGAAAAUUCCCUUCACAGACUCCCCACAUUUUAUCUUUGAUAUGUUGACAAGAAUCGUUGUUGCUACGCAGCGCUGCAGUGAAGUAUUAGACAGAUGCAGUUGUAAAUAACCUUAGGCACAGCAACUUUUACGUAGACUCCUCCAGGUUCCCAUUUAUGCUCAAUAUUUUUCGAUGUUUAUCGUUUCUGUAUCAUAAUGAAGUUGUGAAAAUUAGUAUAAGUUUAAUAAAUAGAUUUCCUACA